UACGAAGGGGGCUAGCGUUGUUCGGAAUCACUGGGCGUAAAGGGCGCGUAGGCGGCCGAUCAAGUCGGGGGUGAAAGCCUGUGGCUUAACCACAGAAUGGCCUUCGAUACUGUUUGGCUUGAGACCGGAAGAGGUUAGUGGAACUGCGAGUGUAGAGGUGAAAUUCGUAGAUAUUCGCAAGAACACCAGUGGCGAAGGCGGCUGACUGGUCCGGUACUGACGCUGAGGUGCGAAAGCGUGGGGAGCAAACAGG
rnacentral:rRNA from 1 species